UCCCCGAUUUCCGGGGCAGUCUCCCUAGAGUUCCCGGCUUUACCCGAUGGCAACUAGGGAUAGGGGUUGCGCUCGUUGAGGGACUUAACCCAACAUCUCACGACACGAGCUGACGACAGCCAUGCAGCACCUCUAUGGCGGCUCCCGAAGGAGAAGGACUGUUUCCAGACCGGUCCACCACAGUUCAAGCCCAGGUAAGGUUCUUCGCGUUGCAUCGAAUUAAACCACAUGCUCCACCGCUUGUGCGGGCCCCCGUCAAUUCCUUUGAGUUUCAACCUUGCGGUCGUACUCCCCAGGCGGGGUACUUCCUGCGUUAGCUGCGGCACCGACAGGCAAGCCUGCCGGCACCUAGCAUCCAUCGUUUACGGCGUGGACUAC
rnacentral:misc_RNA from 1 species